rnacentral:lncRNA from 1 species
GCGCAUGCGGACAGUGCACCCUGAGGGAAGAAUCAUGGAAAAGGGUGCUGAAGCUAUCCAUAGAAAAUCUAGUUAUCAGAAGACACCCAACCUUGACAAGUUAAAAACAAAACAAAGAAGAACAACAACCUGUCCAGCUGUGAGGAGUUAAUACUUAAGAGAAUAUCAACCUUGAGACCCGAUGGAUGAAAAUGUUCCUAAAGAAAAGCAGACGUGAAUGACAAUGGUUCAGUUACUGUUAAGAGACUGACUUCACACUAUGAGCCUCGAGCAGACUACAUAUAUGUACAUUUUAUGAUCAAGGAAGGUUAUGUGAACGAUAAUGAAGUCGGGAGAAAUUCACAGGAGGAUAUUAUGUCCAUAUGUAGUUUGUGUGUAAGUAGAAGUUAUGAAGUGUCCAAAUCAUGGUGAUCAGCCCUUCCAUCUUUAGAAAGUGGAGACACUUCUGGUUGGAACACAAAGCAUCCUGGGAAAUCACGAGCCCAUGAAACACACAGGAUCUCUGAAGCUUAACGGUGCAUUUUAAUGCUCAGAGUAAUGAUUUUCAUUAGACUGCCUCUUAAUUCCUUCCCACCUGGGAAAAUGUUUCUCAUCUCAAGAAAUUGCAAACCUGUUAGAAAGUUCUGAUUAAGUCACCUUAUAGAAAUAGAAUUUUCAUUCACUGGAACAUUUCUAAAUGUAUCCUGAUAUAAGUUUUAGAUAGCAGGAAGUUGUAAACAUGAGCUUCGUAGGCAAGAUAAAUGGAUCAAACCCUGGCCCUUUACAUUGAAUAUUUAGAUGACUGUGGACAAUUAAUUCAAUGUUAUGCUCAGUAUGGUAUAAGCAACACACAUAGCAGUCCCGGUGAAGAAUACAAAUCCCAUGUCUCAAUUUUCUAGAAUAAAAUAAGAUUAAAAUGUGUUUUAUAUAUCUGUGUGAAAGCUAAAAAAUGUUGUACAUAAAUUACAGUAAUUUUUCAGGUUACUUACUUUCAAAAUCAAAAAAUUAUUUCAAUAGAUAGAAGAUAAUGAAUAUAAUGUUUCUGUAUAAUUCAGUCAUUUAAUAGUUAAAUUUUAUGAAUGCGUAUUUGUUUUAUUUUGGAUCGUCUUAACUAGAUUCUGUUAAUUAAUCUCUUAAGAUAUUUUUCACCUACUGAAAUCAUUAAACAUUGUCUCCGUUCAUGAUCUCUUUGACACCUUAAAGAACAUCUUCACUUUGACAAUACGUAUAAACUAGUUUCUGUCAUUAAUGCUGUAUCUUUUUAAAAUUAAAUUGUAUUGCGUAUAUUUAAGG